CAACCCCCAACUCUCAGGGUUGACCCCGGAUCAGGUAGGGAUNCCCGCUGAACUUAAGCAUAUCAAUAAGCGGAGGAAAAGAANCCNNCAGGGAUUGCCUCAGUAACGGCGAGUGAAGCGGCAACAGCUCAAAUUUGAAAUCUGGCUCCUUCGGGNUCCGAGUUGUAAUUUGUAGAAGAUGCUUUGGGUGUGGUCCCCGGUCUAAGUUCCUUGGAACAGGACGUCAUAGAGGGUGAGAAUCCCGUAUGUGACUGGGUCGCCACGCCCGUGUAAAGCUCUUUCGACGAGUCGAGUUGUUUGGGAAUGCAGCUCAAAAUGGGUGGUAAAUUUCAUCUAAAGCUAAAUAUGGGCCAGAGACCGAUAGCGCACAAGUAGAGUGAUCGAAAGAUGAAAAGCACUUUGGAAAGAGAGUUAAACAGUACGUGAAAUUGUUGAAAGGGAAGCGCUUGCAAUCAGACUUGCACGCCGUUGAUCAUCCAGGGUUCUCUCUGGUGCACUCGGCGGCGUUCAGGCCAGCAUCGGUUCGGGUGGUGGGAUAAAGGCCUUGGGAAUGUAGCUCCUCUCGGGGAGUGUUAUAGCCCUCGGUGCAAUGCCGCCUACCUGGACCGAGGACCGCGCUUCGGCUAGGAUGCUGGCGUAAUGGUUGUAAGCGACC
rnacentral:rRNA from 1 species